rnacentral:rRNA from 1 species
CGGCAACAGCUCAAAUUUGAAAUCUGGCCUUGGCCCGAGUUGUAAUUUGAAGAAGCGAUUAUCACGUUUUCGUUCGGGUUCAAGUUCCUUGGAAUAGGACAUCAGAGAGGGUGAGAAUCCCGU